ACGUUGAUUCUCAACCUCACUCUGAAAUUCCUUGAACUUUUCAAACGUCUCAGAUUUGUGCUUCAUCAAGUAGAUAUACCCAUACCUACUCAAAUCAUCGGUGAGAGUGAGAACAUAACGAUAACCACCGCGAGCUUCAACGUUCAUUGGACCACACACAUCAGUAUGUAUUAUUUCCAAUAAGUCGGUUGCUCUCUCCAUUAUUCCUGAGAAUGGAGUCUUAGUCAUCUUGCCCAUGAGGCACAGUUCGCAUGUGUAAAAUGAUUCAAAGUCAAGAGACUCUAAUAGUCCAUCAAUAUGGAGCUUCUUCAUGCGCUUAACGCCGAUAUGACCAAGGCGGCAGUGCCACAAGUAUGUGGGACUGUCAUUAUCAACUUUACAUCUUUUGGUACUCACACUAUGAAUAUGUGUAACAUCACGAUCGAGAUUCAUCAAGAAUAAACCAUUCANNNNNNNNNNNNNNNNNNNNNNNNNNNNNNNNNNNNNNNNNNNNNNNNNNNNNNNNNNNNNNNNNNNNNNNNNNNNNNNNNNNNNNNNNNNNNNNNNNNNAGGUUGACUCGACGAGCUUAGCAUGUACAGACAUGACCUCGAAUACAAGAGACCGAAAGGUCGAACAUGAGUCGUAUGGUUGAAUACGAUCAGCAUGAAGUUGCUCACCAUGGUGACUAGUCCGUCUCACGUGAUGAUCGGACACGGGUUAGUCAACAUGGAUCAUGUAUCACUUAGAUGACUAGAGGGAUGUCGAUUUAAGUGGGAGUUCAUACUUAAUUUGAUUAAAUGAAAUUAAUUGUCAUGAACUUAGUCUAAAAGUUGUCUUUAUAAAUAUUGUAGAUGUCCAACGUCAACCUCAAUUUCAACGCAUUCCUAGAGAAAAACAAGCUGAAAGAUGAUGGUAGCAACUAUGCGGACUGGGUUUGCAACUUGAAGCUCAUCCUCGAAGCAGCUAAAAAGGCUUAUGUCCUUAAUGCGCCGCUAGGUGACCCUCCCGCUCCCGCAGCAGCCCAGGACAUUCUGAACGUCUGGCAAACGCGGAGUGAUGACUACUCUCUGGUCAGGUGUGGCAUGUUAUACAGUUUAGAAACGGGGCUCCAAAGGCGUUUUGAGCAACAUGGGGCAUAUGAGAUGUUCCAGGAGCUACAGCUAGUUUUUCAAGCUCAUGCCCGUGUCGAGAGAUAUGAAGUCUCCGACAAGUUCUUCAGCUGUAAGAUGGAGGAGAACAGUUCUGUCAGUGAGCACAUACUCAAAAUGUCUGGGUUACACGGUCGUCUGACUUCACUUGGAGUCGAACUUCCGGAUGAUGCUAUUAUUGACAGAAUCCUCCAGUCUCUCCCACCAAGCUACAAAGGCUUUGUGCUUAACUACAAUAUGCAAGGGAUGGAGAAGACCAUUCCCGAGUUGUACUCGCUGCUCAACUCUGCAGAAGUAGAAAUCAAGAAAGAGCAUCAAGUCUUGAUGGUCAACAAGACCACUAGUUUCAAGAAAGGCAAGGGUAAGAAGAACUUCAAGAAAGACGGCCAAGCUGUUGCCGCGCCCGGUAAGCCAGAUGCCGGGAAGAAGAAAAAGAACGGACCCAAGCCUGAGACUGAGUGCUUCUAUUGCAAGGGAAAGGGUCACUNNNNNNNNNNNNNNNNNNNNNNNNNNNNNNNNNNNNNNNNNNNNNNNNNNNNNNNNNNNNNNNNNNNNNNNNNNNNNNNNNNNNNNNNNNNNNNNNNNNNUCUCUCCUACUCUAGUCGGAUUGGAUUUGAUGAAAAGGGUCCUUAUGAAGGGUAAAUAGCUUUGGCAUAUAAUCGUUGUGGCUGUCACGUAGGUAAGAAGGCGUUCUUGCUAGAAACCCAAAUCAGCCACGUAAAACUUGCAACAACAAUUAGAGGACGUCUAACUUGUUUUUGCAGGGUUUGACAUGUGAUGUGAUAUGGCCAAAGUUGUGAUGUUGCAUGUAUAAUGUAUGAGAUGAUCAUGUUAUUGUAAUAGGUUUCACGACUUGCAUGUCGAUGAGUAUGACAACCGGCAGGAGCCAUAGGAGUUGUCUUAAUUUAUUGUAUGAGAUGCAACGCCAUGUGCUUACUACUUUUACUUCAUUGCUAACAGUUAGCUAUAGUAGUAGUGAUAGUAGUAGUUGGCGUGACGACAUCACAGAGACACGAUGAUGGAGAUCAUGAUGAUGGAGAUCAUGGUGUCACGCUGGUGACGAUGAUGAUCAUGCGAUGCCUGAAGAUGGAGAUCGAAAGAGCAAAGAUGAUAAUGGCCAUAUCAUGUCACUAUAUGAUUGCAUUGUGAUGUUUAUCAUGUUUUACAUCUUAUUGCUUAAAACGACGGUAGCAUAAUAAGAUGAUCCCUCUUAAAAUUUCAAGAACGUAUUCCCCUAAGUGUGCACCGUUGCGAAGGUUCAUUGUCUCGAAGCACCACGUGAUGAUCGGGUGUGAUAGAUUCUAACAUUCGCAUACAACCGGUGUAAGCCAGAUUUACACACGCGAAACACCUAGGUUGACUCGACGAGCUUAGCAUGUACAGACAUGACCUCGAAUACAAGAGACCGAAAGGUCGAACAUGACUCGUAUGGUUGAAUACGAUCAGCAUGCAGUUGCUCACCAUGGUGACUAGUCCGUCUCACGUGAUGAUCGGACACGGGUUAGUCAACAUGGAUCAUGUAUCACUUAGAUGACUAGAGGGAUGUCGAUUUAAGUGGGAGUUCAUACUUAAUUUGAUUAAAUGAAAUUAAUUGUCAUGAACUUAGUCUAAAAGUUGUCUUUAUAAAUAUUGUAGAUGUCCAACGUCAACCUCAAUUUCAACGCAUUCCUAGAGAAAAACAAGCUGAAAGAUGAUGGUAGCAACUAUGCGGACUGGGUUNNNNNNNNNNNNNNNNNNNNNNNNNNNNNNNNNNNNNNNNNNNNNNNNNNNNNNNNNNNNNNNNNNNNNNNNNNNNNNNNNNNNNNNNNNNNNNNNNNNNAAUACCCAGGAGCUACUACGAGCGCUGGUAAGGUACACAUCAAUAACAUGUAUAUCACAUAUACCUUUAACGUUGCCGGCCUUCUUGUCCGCUAAGUAUUUGGGGCAGUUCCGCUUCCAGUGACCCUUUCCCUUGCAAUAGAAGCACUCAGUCUCAGGCUUGGGUCCGUUCUUUUUCUUCUUCCCGGCAUCUGGCUUACCGGGCGCGGCAACAGCUUGGCCGUCUUUCUUGAAGUUCUUCUUACCCUUGCCUUUCUUGAAACUAGUGGUCUUGUUGACCAUCAAAACUUGAUGCUCUUUCUUGAUUUCUACUUCUGCAGAAUUGAGCACCGAGUACAACUCGGGAAUGGUCUUCUCCAUCCCUUGCAUGUUGUAGUUAAGCACAAAGCCUUUGUAGCUUGGUGGGAGAGACUGGAGGAUUCUGUCAAUUAUAGCAUCAUCCGGAAGUUCGACUCCAAGUGAAGUCAGACGACCGUGUAACCCAGACAUUUUGAGUAUGUGCUCACUGACAGAACUGUUCUCUUCCAUCUUACAGCUAAAGAACUUGUCGGAGACUUCAUAUCUCUCGGCACGGGCAUGAGCUUGAAAAACUAGCUUCAUCUCCUGGAACAUCUCAUAUGCCUCAUGUUGCUCAAAACGCCUUUGGAGCCCCGUUUCUAAACUGUAUAACAUGCUACACCUAACCAGAGAGUAGUCAUCACUCCGCGUUUUCCAGACGUUCAGAAUGUCCUGGGCUGCUGCGGGAGCGGGAGGGUCACCUAGCGGCGCAUCAAGGACAUAAGCCUUUUUAGCUGCUUCAAGGACGAGCUUCAAGUUGCGAACCCAGUCCGCAUAGUUGCUACCAUCAUCUUUCAGCUUGUUUUUCUCUAGGAAUGCGUUGAAAUUGAGGUUGACGUUGGACAUCUACAAUAUUUAUAAAGACAACUUUUAGACUAAGUUCAUGACAAUUAAGUUCAUUUAAUCAAAUUAAAUAUGAACUCCCACUUAAAUCGACAUCCCUCUAGUCAUCUAAGUGAUACAUGAUCCAUGUUGACUAACCCGUGUCCGAUCAUCACGUGAGACGGACUAGUCACCAUGGUGAGCAACUCCAUGCUGAUCGUAUUCAACCAUACGAAUCAUGUUCGACCUUUCGGUCUCUUGUAUUCGAGGUCAUGUCUGUACAUGCUAAGCUCGUCGAGUCAACCUNNNNNNNNNNNNNNNNNNNNNNNNNNNNNNNNNNNNNNNNNNNNNNNNNNNNNNNNNNNNNNNNNNNNNNNNNNNNNNNNNNNNNNNNNNNNNNNNNNNNGCGGAGACUGGCCAAGGACGAGGUGACGAUGCGCGUCGGGAAUGGUUCAAAGGUCGAUGUGAUCGCCGUCAGCACGCUGCCUCUACAUCUACCGUCGGGAUUAGUUUUAAACCUUAAUAAUUGUUAUUUAGUACCAGCUUUAAGCAUGAACAUUGUAUCAGGGUCUUGCUUAAUGCGAGACGGCUACUCAUUUAAGUCAGAGAAUAAUGGUUGUUCUAUUUAUAUGAGUGAUAUGUUUUAUGGUCAUGCUCCGCUGGUGAAUGGUUUAUUCUUGAUGAAUCUCGAUCGUGAUGUUACACAUAUUCAUAGUGUGAGUACCAAAAGAUGCAAAGUUGAUAAUGAUACUCCCACAUACUUGUGGCACUGCCGCCUUGGUCAUAUCGGCGUUAAGCGCAUGAAGAAGCUCCAUACUGAUGGACUAUUAGAGUCUCUUGACUUUGAAUCAUUUGACACAUGCGAACCGUGCCUCAUGGGCAAGAUGACUAAGACUCCAUUCUCAGGAAUAAUGGAGAGAGCAACCGACUUAUUGGAAAUAAUACAUAUUGAUGUGUGUGGUCCAAUGAACGUUGAAGCUCGCGGUGGUUAUCGUUAUGUUCUCACUCUCACCGAUGAUUUGAGUAGGUAUGGGUAUAUCUACUUGAUGAAGCACAAAUCUGAGACGUUUGAAAAGUUCAAGGAAUUUCAGAGUGAGGUUGAGAAUCAACGUGACAGAAAAAUUAAAUGUCUACGAUCUGAUCGUGGAGGAGAAUAUUUGAGUCACGAGUUUGGCACACACCUAAGGAAGUGUGGAAUCGUUUCACAACUGACGCCGCCUGGCACACCGCAGCGCAACGGAGUGUCUGAACGUCGUAAUCGCACUUUAUUAGAUAUGGUACGAUCUAUGAUGUCUCUCACCGACUUACCGCUAUCAUUUUGGGGAUACGCAUUAGAAACUGCAGCAUUCACUUUAAAUAGGGCACCGUCUAAAUCCGUUGAGACGACACCGUAUGAACUAUGGUUUGGCAAGAAACCUAAGUUGUCGUUUCUUAAAGUUUGGGGCUGCGAUGCUUAUGUGAAGAAACUUCAACUAGAAAAGCUCCAACCCAAAGAGGAGAAAUGCGUAUUCAUAGGAUACCCUAAGGAAACUAUUGGGUAUACCUUCUAUCUUAGAUCCGAAGGUAAAACCUUUGUUGCCAAGAACGGAUCCUUUCUAGAGAAAGAGUUUCUCUCGAAAGAAGUAAGUGGGAGGAAGGUAAAACUUGAUGAGGUAAUUGCACCCCCUCUCGAACAGGAAAGUAGCGCAGCGCGGGAAGUUGUUCCUGUGGCGCCUAUACCGAAUGAAGAGGAAGUUAAUGAUGAUGAUCAUGAAGCUUCGGAUCAAGUUACUACUGAACCGCGAAGGUCCACAAGGGCACGCUCCGCACCAGAGUGGUACGGCAACCCUGUGAUGGAAAUCAUGUUGUUAGACAAUGGUGAGCCUUCGAACUAUGAAGAAGCAAUGGCGGGCCCGGAUUCCAACAAAUGGCUUGAGGCUAUGAAAUCCGAGAUAGGAUCCAUGUAUGAGAACAAAGUAUGGACUUUGGUGGACUUGCCCGAUGACCGGCGAGCCAUAGAAAAUAAAUGGAUCUUCAAGAAGAAGACUGAUGCAAACGGUAAUGUAACCGUUUACAAAGCUCGACUUGUCGCAAAGGGUUUUCGACAAAUUCAAGGAGUUGACUACGAAGAGGCUUUCUCUCCCGUAGCGAAGCUGAAAUCAGUUCGAAUCAUGUUAGCAAUUGCCGCCUUUUAUGAUUAUGAAAUUUGGGAAAUGGACGUCAAAACAGCGUUCCUUAACGGGAACCUUAAGGAAGAGUUGUAUAUGAUGCAACCAGAAGGUUUUGUCGACCCUAAGGGUGCUAACAAAGUGUGCAAGCUCCAGCGCUCCAUCUAUGGGCUGGUGCAAGCAUCUCGGAGUUGGAACAUUCGCUUUAAUGAGGUAAUUAAAGCGUUUGGGUUCAUACAGGUUUACGGAGAAACCUGUCUGUACAAGAAAGUGAGUGGGAGCUCUGUAGCUUUCCUCAUACUAUAUGUGGAUGACAUAUUAUUGAUGGGGAAUAAUAUAGAGAUGUUGGAGAGCAUAAAGGCCUAUUUGAACAAGAGUUUUUCAAUGAAGGACCUUGGAGAAGCUGCAUACAUAUUAGGCAUCAAGAUCUAUAGAGAUAGAUCGAGACGCCUCAUAGGUCUUUCGUAAAGUACAUACCUUGACAAGAUAUUGAAGAAGUUCAAUAUGGAAAACUCAAAGAAAGGGUCAUUGCCAGUUUUGCAAGGUAUGAGAUUGAGUAAGACUCAGUCGCCGACCACGGCAGUAGAUAGAGAGAAGAUGAGUUAUGUCCCCUACGCUUCAGCCGUGGGCUCUCUAAUGUAUGCCAUGUUGUGUACCAGACCUGAUAUAAACCUUGCCAUAAGUUUGGUAGGGAGGUACCAAAGUAAUCCCGGUACGGAACACUCGACAGCGGUCAAGAAUAUCCUUAAGUACCUGAAAAGGACUAAGGAAAUAUUUCUCGUUUAUGGAGGUGACGAAGAGCUCGUCGUAAAGGGUUACGUCGACGCUAGCUUCGACAUAGAUCCGGAUGACUCUAAGUCACAGACCGGAUACGUAUAUGUGUUGAAUGGUGGGGCAGUGAGCUGGUGCAACAGCAAGCAAGAAGUCGUGGCAGCAUCUACAUGUGAAGCGGAGUACAUAGCUGCUUCAGAAGCGGCUCAUGAAGGAAUUUGGAUGAAGGAGCUCAUCACUGACCUUGGAGUGGUUCCAAGCGCGUCGGGUCCCAUGACACUCUUCUGUGAUAACACUGGAGCCAUUGCCAUAGCCAAGGAGCCCAGGUUUCACUGAAAGACGAAGCACAUCAAGCGCCGCUACAACUCCAUCCAGGACCAUGUCCAGAGUGGAGUGAUAGAUAUUUGUAAAGUACACACGGAUCUGAAUAUUGCAGACCCGUUGACUAAACCUCUUCCACGAGCAAAACAUGAUCAACACCAUAAUGCUAUGGGUGUUCGAUACAUCACAAUGUAACUAGAUUAUUGACUCUAGUGCAAGUGGGAGACUGUUGGAAAUAUGCCCUAGAGGCAAUAAUAAAAUGGUUAUUAUCAUAUUUCCUCGUUCAUGAUAAUCGUCUAUUGUUCAUGCUAUAAUUGUAUUAACAGGAAACAGUAAUACAUGUGUGAAUAAAUAGAUCACAAUGUGUCCCUAGGAAGCCUCUAGUUGGCUAGCUCGUUAGUCAAUAGAUGAUCAUGGUUUCCUGAUCAUGGGCAUUAGAUGUCAUUGAUAACGGGAUCACAUCAGUGGGAGAAUGAUGUGAUGGACAAGACCCAAUCCUAAGCCUAGCACUAGAUCGUAUUGUUCGUAUGCUAAUGCUUUUCUAAUGUCAAGUAUCUUUUCCUUCGACCGUGAGAUUGUGCAACUCCCAGAUGCCGUAGGAGUGCUUUGGGUGUAUCAAACGUCACAACGUAACUGGGUGACUAUAAAGGUGCACUACGGGUAGGGGGGGGGGGGGGGGUUGGGUUGGUACGAAUCGAGAUCGGGAUUUGUCACUCCGUGUGACGGAGAGGUAUCUCUGGGCCCACUCGGUAGAACAUCAUCAUGAGCUCAAUGUGACUAAGGAGUUAGUCACACGAUGAUGUGCUACGGAACGAGUAAAGAGACUUACCGGUAACGAGAUUGAACAAGGUAUAGGUAUACCGACGAUCGAAUCUCGGGCAAGUUCUAUACCGACAGACANNNNNNNNNNNNNNNNNNNNNNNNNNNNNNNNNNNNNNNNNNNNNNNNNNNNNNNNNNNNNNNNNNNNNNNNNNNNNNNNNNNNNNNNNNNNNNNNNNNNGGGGGGGGGGGAGGGUGUUAGAUUUGUAUUGCCCCUUUUUUGUAUAUCCCCAUUAUAUAAGGGGUUUCUACCACUUUUACCAUAUGUAUAUAUAUUGGCCUUUGGCCCCUGUGAAUAUUUGCUCAUUAUCUAACAGAUCCAACACAAGGUUGGGUCGAAGCUAGUUUAUAUCUGGGACGUUACACCAACCUCUCAAGCCAAUCCAACAUUGCAGACAGAUUUAUGAUACACUUCCUUUUCACGAGCCCGAGGCAAUGUACCUAUGUCAAAAAAAGUAGGAGUUCGAGGCAAUGUACCUAAUACAAACUGUGAAGCCUUCCCACCUAGGCUAUACAUGAGGUCCUUGAGAUGCUCUAUAAGAUAUCGGUUAAAAGAGAAAACGUCCAAAAUAAGAGAAAUAUAACUAUAUUUUUUUUGUAUUUGUCGCUUCAAAGGAUCAGUAUGUUGGACAAGAAGAGAAGCACUGAAGUAGCAUCACUCAUCAUCAAGGUCAAAAUCGUUGUCCGAUGCGCACUCGAGAUAUGAACCAAUCGACUUGCGGAAGAUGAUGAAAGACUUGUCAUCCUGUGAAAAAAGAAUGCAUUAUUUUGCAGGAAGAGGUGUUUCAAGCCAUGGAACAAAAAAAACUGGCUGGUCAUUCAGCUUUAGGCCUGACGGGUAGCUAAAAAUGAAGUCUAAGAAAUGCAAGCAGUUGUGAAUUUUGCCACACCUGCUUCAUCCUUUUCAGUGAUGGUUUGGCAUUUGUUAUCUUAUCUGAUAAGGUGUCACCAUGUUCUGACAAUGUAGCCGUCUCCUCCCCUGUUUGAAGGAUUUGAGUGUAAGAGCAGCAUAUUUCCAUCCAAGGGAAAUAAUGAAUCCUCUAGCUACUUACUUUGAUAUUCAUACUGCUCAAGCAGUUUCUUUUUCUCAACUUCAAUUUGUGAGGAUAGAUCUGCAUAAUAGGACAUGUAACAAGUCAAAUAAGAGCCAAAUAUUUUUGCAGAUUCAAUGAGAUCUGAACGUCUUUUAUGGGAACAUCAUCCAAAUAAUGCUGAGUCGCUAAUAAGCAGUAGCCAAGCAAUGCAUAUUUAGAAACAACACACAUAAUUUGAAUACAAGUGUCAUGUAGAUUCUAUUUGCAUCAAAACCAGGUAUCUCAAUAUUUUUUCUAAAGAUAAGAAUCACAGCUCAUACGUAGUAGCCGAUUACACCAAAUGAGAAACAACCAUCACACGUCACAAUGCCCUAAAAUCCUAGAUAGACCUGGAUAGAAGCACAUGAUAUACUUGUGAAAAUGACAACCAGCUCUUAUUUGACAUACCUUUGAAGGUUUGUAAGUGUGCAUCAUUUUCUUCGCAGAACAUUUCAUAUGUUUCCUGAAGCUUGGUGUACUCUUCGUUCAAUGAACUUUCACACUGCUAAUAGUGCAAAUUACACGCCAUAAUUCAAUCUUAGGCAAAUCAGCAAGUAAGUCGACAAUUCCAAAGAAUUGUAAACUGUGUACCUCUUUCGAAGUGCUUGACAGUACUUUCAGCAAAUUCUGCCUGCACAUGCAAAUAUAACAGUGACACUACGUUCUAAAUAAAAACGAACAAGCUUCCUUUUCUGACAGAACUGGUUUCAGGCGUAAUUGUUCAUGCAGGCAUCGUUUCACAGUUCACAAGCAAGUGAGUUACCUUUCCUUCUCAAACUUGGACUUGGUAUCUUCAAGCAUAGUCUGAAUAUUGGCUGCAACACUGUCAGGUUUAGAAAAGUAAAGGAAUAAACAGGGUAAGAAGAAGGUAAAAGAAUAAUGAUCAGCAACAUUAUGCGCUUCAAACUUCACAGUUCAGUCAGCGGAGUCCCUGUUAGUCCACAUGUUAUAAUUUUCGGCUUCUUUUCCUCCCCGAUGCCUGUGUAAAUAAUUCUUUGUAAUAGUUCUGAGAAGUUUAUAGAAAUGUUCAGGCUGGCUUUGCCGGCCGUAGUUCUGAAAAUCAACUCACCCGAACAAAGCCACACCAUGACAUAAGUACAAAACAUGAAUCCGGGAACCCAUCAAAUUAAUAUGUCCAUUUUCCUCGCAUCACUCACAAUGCAUAUCGCUCCGCAUAAUAUACAAAAACUGACAUAUCACCGAACGAACCUAGUUCCUGCAUUAAUCACAGAAACAGCCGAGUGGACGCAUUGCAGGAUUGCAAACGUGCAACAUUUAUUUGUAUCCCUCCCAGUGACCAUGAACUGUAAGUUUUCCACACAAAUCCGCCAGCACGAAAUGCAUCAUAAGAAGCUGCUAGGAUAGCAUACGCCGAUCCCAAUUUUUUUGCACGCUAGCACAUAGCGAGAUAAGAGAAAAUUUAGAGGUGCAAGUGCAACCGAAAGAACACUGUUCUCCGCACCUGGCGAUGAUCUGCUCGCACAUCUUCUGGCCAGCCUUGUUGGUCCCGCCCUUGAUCAACCGCAGCAGGCACGCGAUCUGCCUCAAGUCGCUGCGCCCGCCACAAAAGUAGCCAUCACGGAGUUAAAGCGAGAAGGAAUUAGAAACGGGAGACACCGAAUCGAAGAGGAAAAGCUCGAAAUCAGAUGUGCGGCACCUGACGAAAUCGCCGUCAGAUUCCGAGCCGGAGCUGGAGCCGGAAUCGGAACCGGAGCCGAAAUCCACGGGGUGGCGCGGCCUCUUCGACGACCGCAGAGCCUCUUCACCCAGGGACAUCCUCCUUCCGCCGCCGGGACUCGCCGCGGGCCGCAUCGCUGGUCGACGAGCGUAGUGCAGCGCAAUUCGAAAUUUGGAGGGGGAGCGAGAGGGUAGUGAUGUAAUACUGGCAAAAUUUUGGUGGCCCACUCACAGUAUUGGCUUUUGUAAGGGAAAGUGUUCGUGCGCGCAAGGCUACGAGCAACUAGUUCCUCCUCUUGUAAUUUUUUUUUCCUUCGACGCGUCCGUUGAAGUGUUCGGCCGGUCGCGUUCCUUCCUCACGUUUUUCUUCCACCUUUUCCUUUUCCCCUCCCGCGCACACUCGGAUUUUUUCACUGUUUUAACCUUUUUUCUAAANNNNNNCACAAAAUGAACCAGAUUUGAAACCAUUUCACGAUCUGACCCUUUUAAAAACGCCACAAGCCGUGGCGUUGCUNNNNNNNNNNNNNNNNNNNNNNNNNNNNNNNNNNNNNNNNNNNNNNNNNNNNNNNNNNNNNNNNNNNNNNNNNNNNNNNNNNNNNNNNNNNNNNNNNNNNUGGACAAGAAUACAUGGAGUUACUCAAGCCAUUGAAUCAUUUGACUUUGUUUUCAAUCUUCACUUGAUGCUUGUUAUUCUUGGCUAUACAAAUGAGUUGUCCAAAUCUUUGCAAAAGAGAGAUCAAGAUACUAUUAAUGCAGUGGCACUUGUUAGUUUGGCAAAGAGUAGAAUGCGACACAUGAGGUGUCAUGGUUAGGAAGAAUUUCUUGCAAAGCUAACCCUAUUUUGCCAGAAACAUGACAUUCAAGUUCCUUUGUGGGAGGAUACUUAUGCAGGGGCAGAAUUAGCAUGGGUUCACGUCUAGGGCCAAAUUAGCUUCAGUGGUGUAUUUUAGAGAUUUUUUGUACUUAGUAAGUAGGUAUUACAAAGACUAUUGUCACUACACCUAGGGCUAUAGCCCCAUUUUCCCUAGGCCUGAUUCCAACAUUGUACUUAUGAGCAUCAUGGAAUAUCACGUUGGUAUAAUGAAGUUCAAACAAAUGAUGAUCGUUAUAAAAGAGAAGUAUAUCUUGGUGUCAUUGAUCAAACCAUUCUAUCCCAUGGACAUAUCAAGCACGGAUUUGAUAAGGCUAGAAUUUCAACUUGCUACUUUUAUUGAUGAUACGAGACAAGAUGAUAUUGGUGAGCUCUCUAUUUUACUUGUUGCAACAAAGAAUCAUAUUCUCUAUGAUUUGGUCUACUUACUCAUCAAAUUGAUAUUGAUUUUACCGAUGGCAACAACGAGUGUUGAAAGGGUAUUUUCUGCAAUGAAUCUAGUGAAAAAUAAAUUAAGGACUAGUAUGGGUGAUGAUCGUUUGGUGACAAUUAUUAAGCGAGAUGUGUUCAUGAAAGUAAAUGAAGAUGACAUAGUUGAUGCUUUCAUGACAAUGCAACGACGUAGAGUUACCUAGUGUUGUAAUUUUCUACUUCUGUUACUUUCAUGUAAGUCUUUUCUAUUGUAACUGGGCACAUUUGAAAUACAUUUUAUGUACUAAAUGGUUGUGAGAUUUCAAUUGAGCUAUUUAUGUUACUCAUUUGACAUAUUUUGAUACAUUUGGAUUAGGUAGGAAAAAAAUAGAGUGCGCAUGCCCUUUAUUUUAUUCCUGGGUACCCACACAAUGGAACGCAAAAAUAUCCAGCCGAGCGAGCAGUAAAUCCACCAUACGGGAUGUGCAUACUUAAUACUCCUACAUUGCAACAAAUAAUCGUGAAAAAAAAUGGAAAAAGAAACCAUAUGCGAUCAGGCACAUGACGAAGGAAGGGUCACAUGAAUGAAGAAGAGAGAAAAGCCACAUAUCGACCCGAAUAGCGAAGUGUGGGAGCCGCGAUGGCGGGCACUGGCAGCCAUACAUUGGGCUAUCCAAAAUCUCAUCUCUCGCCCAAUCCCGGCCUCACGAUCUCAAUUCUCACCCCGCGUGCACCACAAGCUCCAAUCCCCUAACUCGUAUAUACAGCCACGCCCGCCUCACCGUCCUUGAUCUUCCCCCCUAUCUGAUCGGAUCCUUUGGACAUGGCGUCGCCCAUGCUCUCCACGGCCAUGGCGCCACUCCAGGUAUUGCUCGUGUUCCAUUUCCAUUCCAUGCUUGCGUAGUAGUACAGUUCUUCCAUGUUUGUGACGCGCGGUGGUUAUGUAACUGGACUGCCAUGCAUCCUCUGUCGAUCCAGGGGGGCAUGCUGGAGUUCUCCGGGCUGAGGAGCUCGUCGUCGCUGCCGCUCCGGCGGAAUGCCACCUCCGACGACUUCAUGUCCGCCGUCUCCUUCAGGACAUACGCGGUAUGAUAUGAAUAUGAUGGGCGGAAUGUGGCUGUCACCUAGGAGUACGUAGCUCGCUUGGUCGCAUGCCAUGAGACAUGAGCGGCGCGUGGUACGGUGGUUGCAGGUGAGCACGAGCGGCGGGUCGCGGAAGGCGCCGACGGAGGCGAAGCUCAAGGUGGCGAUCAACGGGUUCGGGCGCAUCGGGCGCAACUUCCUGCGGUGCUGGCACGGGCGCGGCGACAGCUCGCCGCUGGAGGUGAUCGCCAUCAACGACACCGGAGGCGUGAAGCAGGCGUCCCACCUCCUCAAGUACGACUCCACGCUGGGCAUCUUCGACGCGGACGUCAAGCCCGUGGGCGACAACGCCAUCUCCGUCGACGGCAAGGUGAUCAAGGUCGUGUCCGACCGCAACCCCUCCAACCUGCCGUGGGGCGAGAUGGGCAUCGACCUCGUCAUCGAGGGCACCGGCGUCUUCGUCGACCGCGCCGGCGCGGGCAAGCAUCUCGAGGCCGGAGCCAAGAAGGUGCUCAUCACCGCGCCCGGCAAGGGCGACAUCCCCACCUACGUCUGCGGCGUCAACGCCGACCUCUACACCCACGCCGACACCAUCAUCAGCAACGCCUCAUGCACCACCAACUGCCUCGCCCCCUUCGUCAAGGUCCUCGACCAAAAGUUCGGUACGUGCCCGUCUCCCUCCCUCUCUCUCUCUCUCAACUGAAUCAACUUGUUGACGAUGACUAAUGGCGGCGGUGGCAAUGGCGCAGGCAUCAUCAAGGGAACCAUGACCACAACCCACUCGUACACCGGCGACCAGAGGCUGCUCGACGCGAGCCACCGCGACCUGCGCCGUGCCCGCGCCGCCGCCCUCAACAUAGUGCCGACCUCCACCGGCGCGGCCAAGGCCGUGGCGCUGGUGCUCCCCAACCUCAAGGGCAAGCUCAACGGGAUCGCGCUCCGGGUGCCCACCCCCAACGUGUCCGUCGUCGACCUCGUGGUGCAGGUCUCCAAGAAGACCCUCGCCGAGGAGGUGAACCAGGCGUUCCGCGACGCCGCCGCCAACGAGCUCAAGGGCAUCCUCGACGUCUGCGACGAGCCCCUCGUGUCCGUCGACUUCAGGUGCUCCGACGUCUCCUCCACCAUCGACGCGUCGCUCAGCAUGGUCAUGGGAGACGACAUGGUCAAGGUCAUUGCAUGGUACGACAACGAGUGGGGUUACUCCCAGAGGGUCGUCGACCUCGCCGACAUCGUCGCCAACCAAUGGAAGUGAACGCCCCCCCACAGCGGCAUUGCCCUGUCAAGUGACUCCUCUCGAAAUUUUCCCCAGCCGUCGUCACGGAUGAUCGAUUCUUUGUAAUGAGAAUUCAAAGUAUCGAGCUCCCAACAC
rnacentral:lncRNA from 1 species